rnacentral:rRNA from 1 species
UACGUAGGGGGCAAGCGUUGUCCGGAUUUAUUGGGCGUAAAGAGCGUGUAGGCGGCCAUACAGGUCCGUUGUGAAAACUCGAGGCUCAACCUCGAGAGGUCGGUGGAAACCGUCUGGCUAGAGUCCGGAAGAGGAGAGUGGAAUUCCCGGUGUAGCGGUGAAAUGCGCAGAUAUCGGGAAGAACACCCGUGGCGAAGGCGGCUCUCUGGGACGGUACUGACGCUGAGACGCGAAAGCGUGGGGAGCAAACAGG